AGCAGCCGCGGUAAUUCCAGCUCCAAUAGCGUAUAUUAAAGUUGUUGCAGUUAAAAAGCUCGUAGUUGAAUUUCGGAAUCAGUACGCCGGUCGUGCCUCCGGUAUGUACUGGUGUCACUGGUUCCUCCCUUCUGAAGAACCAUCAUGCUAUUAAUUUAGUGUGGUGGGAAAUCAGGACUGUUACUUUGAAAAAAUUAGAGUGUUUAAAGCAGGCUCACGCUUGAAUACAUUAGCAUGGAAUAAUGAAAUAGGACGUUGAUCCUAUUUUGUUGGUUUCUAGGAUUGACGUAAUGAUUAAUAGGGAUAGUUGGGGGCAUUAGUAUUCAAUUGUCAGAGGUGAAAUUCUUGGAUUUAUUGAAGACUAACUACUGCGAAAGCAUUUGCCAAGGAUGUUUUCAUUAAUCAAGAACGAAAGUUAGGGGAUCGAAGACGAUCAGAUACCGUCGUAGUCUUAACCAUAAACUAUGCCGACUAGGGAUCGGAUGAUGUUAAUUUUUUAAUGUA
rnacentral:rRNA from 1 species